CGUUAGUCACGAAUUAUAUAUUAGAAUAUAUAGAAUAAUUAUAAAGAUAGUUAUACGGCAAGGGUUUAAGUUUAUGUUGAUGCGCUAACUAUGCUUGCUUGUCGCGUCGUGACUGUCUUUGUAUACCAUGUACGUAUGUCAAUUUUAAACCAAUUUUUAACCAUCGUGAAUAAUUUCCUCAGAUAUAAAAUUAUUGUGACAAGUGA